rnacentral:tRNA from 1 species
CCGGCGGUGGUCUAACGGUCAUCGCGGGGGGAUUCCAACCCUUCCGUCUCGGGUUUGAAUCCCGCUUCCCCCGCCGGU